UACGUAGGGGGCAAGCGUUGUCCGGAAUUAUUGGGCGUAAAGAGCGUGUAGGCGGUCCGGUAAGUCGGCUGUGAAAGUCCAGGGCUCAACCCUGGGAUGCCGGUCGAUACUGCCGGACUAGAGUUCGGAAGAGGCGAGUGGAAUUCCCCGGUGUAGCGGUGAAAUGCGCAGAUAUCGGGAGGAACACCGGUGGCGAAGGCGGCAUCCUGGACCGAGAUUGACGCUGAUGCGCGAAAGCCAGGGGAGCAAACGGG
rnacentral:rRNA from 1 species